AAAAAGGUAAGCUAAUUUAAGCUUUUGGGCUCAUACCUCAACGAUAGUUAAAAAACUCCUUUUUA
rnacentral:tRNA from 2 species